rnacentral:ncRNA from 1 species
CCCGAGAGAGACCCACUUCACGGGCGCCGAAGGGGAAUGCGAAAACUCUCAGGCAAAAAGAUCGG